rnacentral:rRNA from 1 species
CCUACGGGAGGCAGCAGUGGGGAAUAUUGCACAAUGGGGGAAACCCUGAUGCAGCGACGCCGCGUGAGUGAAGAAGUAAUUCGUUAUGUAAAGCUCUAUCAGCAGGGGAGAAAAUGACGGUACCUGAGUCAGAAGCACCGGAGAACUACGUGCAAGCAGCCGCGGUAAUACGCCGGGGGCAAGCGUUAUCCGGAUUUACUGGGUGUAAAGGGAGCGUAGUCGGCAGUGCAAGUCUGGAGUGAAAGGCGGGGGCCCAACCCCCGGACUGCUCUUGAAACUGUACGGCUGGAGUGCAGGAGAGGUAAGCGGAAUGCUUGGUGUAGCGGUGAAAUGCAUAGAUA